CGAACUAGAAAGUCUCAUAGAAGAGAGAUCCUAUUGCUCAAUUAUGAUGGAGAGACUGCUAAGAUGAACAAAUUGAUCAUGUUUUACAAUUUCAGUAGGUUCGUUUGAAGAAGAGAUCAGAGAGUCGUGAACUUGAAUCUGAUGGCAACAAUGGUUCAAAAUGCUGAUGAUAAUAUUUAUCCCAGAAAUGUGCUACCAACUUUGACAUUCACACUUUAGGUAAAGGGCAUUGUUGCACUCUGUGAUGUUGAAAAUUCUACAGGGAAAACAUAUUUGGGAUAUAUU